GACGAACGCUGGCGGCGUGCUUAACACAUGCAAGUCGAACGGUGAUCUUGGGAGCUUGCUCCUGGGUGAUCAGUGGCGAACGGGUGAGUAACACGUGAGUAACCUGCCCCUGACUCUGGAAUAACCCCGGGAAACCGGGGCUAAUACCGGAUAUGACAUCAUCCCGCAUGGGUGUGGUGUGGAAAGUUUUUUCGGUUGGGGAUGGGCUCGCGGCCUAUCAGCUUGUUGGUGAGGUAGUGGCUCACCAAGGCGACGACGGGUAGCCGGCCUGAGAGGGCGACCGGCCACACUGGGACUGAGACACGGCCCAGACUCCUACGGGAGGCAGCAGUGGGGAAUAUUGCACAAUGGGCGGAAGCCUGAUGCAGCGACGCCGCGUGAGGGAUGACGGCCUUCGGGUUGUAAACCUCUUUCAGCUCUGAAGAAGCGAAAGUGACGGUAGGAGCAGAAGAAGCAUCGGCUAACUACGUGCCAGCCGCCGCGGUAACAC
rnacentral:rRNA from 1 species